GGAGAAGCAGUUGUUACCCAACCAGCACCUGGUUCAGCCAACGAAACCACUGAUGAGAAACAGCAGGUGCAAAUGCUGGUGUAAAUAUCCCAAUCGUAAUUCAGCCGCAGCCAGAAUGACCAAAAUGUGAAUCAACUUAGUAGUCUUCAAGCCAAAUGUCUUCCGACAGAAGCGAUACAUGAAAACACAGGAUCUGAAAAUUCAUGUUAAGCAUACAUGUUUGAGCAGGAUUUUGAAAAUUAAUUUUAACAAAACAUGUACAUAUUGUAUAGUUCGUAUUUUUCUGAAGGAUCCUGACACAGCCAACACACUUGUAAAUUUGUAAUGUAUUAUACAAUCUACAUUUGUGUUAUUUCCAACUACAGAACAACUGAAACAUUCUUAUGGGAUAUAAUCUAUUUUAAACAAAAGGGUGAUGACUUUUUUUUUAAUUUCUGCAGACUUUUUUAAAAACAGGUAUAACAAUGUAAUAAGUCUUAUCGGACUGAAAUCUUUACUACUUCAAUCUUCAUUCCAUUGAAACAGAUGUCUGAGUUUGUAAGUGAAUAAAAAUGGUAAGUAAUUUCAAGUUGCACUGAUUUAGGCUUUCAAAUUACUACAUUAGCUACUGAUAAAACACUGCUAAUUGAAAAGAGAAUGUUGUACAUAUAUGUUGUACAUGUUUUUGGGCAAAGUGCAUUCUUAUUAUGUUUACCACCAAAACCAGUCCUCUUCUGAAGUGUGCAAAAUGGUAACCAAAACAGAUUUGGUCUGGGAAUAGUAGAUGUCUUGAACAUUUCAGUUUUAGUGGAUUAGAAAAAGUUCUUUCAUUGUAUAGAGGAAGUCAAAUGUGUAGGUAUAGAACAGGUUUGCGAUGUGUAGCACCUUUUGAUUUGAUCAGAUAGAUGCUUUUUAUUUGAAUGUUGCAACCUAUUAGAAUGAAUUUAUAUUAAAAUUGUUCCUUCAUCAGGUGAUAAACCUCUAUGCAUUUGCUGAAAGUUAUUCGAUAAAAUUUUUCUUCUAAAAAUGGCUUUGACCUAAUAAGAAUGUACUCUGUACAACUGUGCACUUUUGAUUCCUGAUUGAUAUUUGUGCCAAAUAAGGUUAUAUACUUUUGACUCGGUGGAUUUAGUUAUCAGGACUGUAUGUGGAAUAUAUUGUUACUAGCUAAAUUGCAGUUAUAAGAUUCAUUUCAUUGCUUUAAAACAAAAUAUAAUGUGGCCAAAAAUUUAAAUCUCUUAGCCAUAGAAGAUAAGCGAUAUUUAAAUCUGCAGUACAUUUAGUUGUGUACCUAGUGCUGCUAUGUAUUAUCGGAAUUUUAAUUUAUUGGAAGUUUUGAAUAAUCAUUUAUUUGUUCAGACUAAUGUAAUAUUGCAUUCUCAUUUCUCUCCCAUGUCUUUUACAAAGUAACUUUUACCAUUGAAUAUGUAGAUCAAUUUUUGAUUUCCUGACAUUGGAUUUAUCACUCUGUCAGGCAUUUGCCUUGUGUGACAAUGGUUUGGGACCUUGAUGGUCAAUUCCGUGUUACUGAAACUGGAGUGACCUCUUCAGGCAACAAGCCUGAGCAAAUUUUAAGGAGGCCCAGGCUACUCAAAUGUCAGGAUCUCCCCUGACUUCCUUGGUUGGGACCAAAGGAAUUCAGAGAUUACGUUUCACACGUUUUCAGGAAUUGCCAGAAAGCUGAGAGUUAGGCAACAAUCCAGCUUUGGCCCCACUCCAGACUUUUUUCUCAGGGUUUGCUCUCUUAGCCUUUAUUUCUCCCAAGGUAUGCACAAACAUUGGAGCUAUUUGUCCACAGCUGGGUGUUUGGUUCAUAAAUGCAUGGCAUGUCCACACACUGGACUUGCGUGCUGCAUUCUGGGGGCCAAAUAUCCUCCAUAUUCUCUGAAGCUUUAGCCCAAGGCCAGAGGUUUCCUCAGUUCCACUUGUGCCACAUGGACUUGGCAACGGAAAGGCUGUGUACCAACAGGAAUAGAUUAGCACUUUUAGAUUUCCUUUCUGAAUUACUGCGAACCAGUGAAAGUGAGAAGCACAUUAAAAUACAAAAAGCAAGAAAUAAGUUAACUUCUCCAUCUACACACUAAGCACAUCAUGUCAACUUGCUGUACGCACCCAUUAACAUUGAAUCUUUCACAGAAUUGAAAAUACCCACAGCGUAAUAUUUAAUGGCUAUUAAUUACUAACCUGCAACAACAGGUUUAAUAAGUUUCAUAUAAUUUAACUGUACAAAUACAAGGCUAAUUCAUUUUUAUGUUAAGGAUGUCUUUCUUCUAUCCUUUAGCAAAUAGUGAAAGUGGAUUUCUCUAUGCUCUGGCAACAUCUGAGUGAGGGAAAUUUUGUUUUAGUGAGCCAUUAACUCAAAUAUGAUUUUCUUUUGAGUUGGUAGCCAUGCAUGAUUACUGAUGACUUUUGUUACAUGGGUGAAUUCUACAAAUGUCAUAUAUGUUCCAAUUGCAACUACAAAUUUUUUCUGCAUUUUUGAAUUUUUUUUUACAGUAGUUAUUGAAAAUAAUGUCAUUGGAAUUAAUAGUGAAAUUUAAAAAGUAGACCAAAAACUGAAUUGAGUUGCUAUGAUGUGCCACUGAUCAAUUGCAGUUUUUUAAGUCCUUUCAAUUCAGAAGUAACUAACUCUUUAUAUUGCUAGUAGACUGUGGGUAAACAGCCAUAUAGUUAAAAGCUUUAAAAAUUGAGACCUGCAAAACAAGUUUUUGUUCUGUCUCAAAAUAGUCAUUGUGUAUGCCAAAUACUUUUGCCCCCCACAAAUCGUGACAUGUAUAUUUAAUUGAUGCACGCAGCAGAAUUGGCCACUUUUUAUUGGUCUAUGUAAUUGUAAAUACUGGAACCUAUAUGCUACAUUUAUUAUACUGAACUUUUAAAAUAAUAAUUUUACUACUGUGCAUAAAGUUACCAUACUUGUGUAUUUUCUAAAGUAUAUGUUUACAGCUAACAAACCUUAGUAAUGGAAUUUGUUCUGUCAUACACUUUUUAAGACAGAGAAUGAGUCUGGUGGAAAGAUCUUCAAAGGUGCAGUGUAUUAUAGCAAAAUACUUUUAGUACUUAUUUGAAAUUUCUUGAGCUCACUGAUUAAUUCAGGUUUCAAAAAAGAUUAUGCCACAUGUAAAUGUGAACAUCAGAUGAAAAUUUUUAUAUAUUUGCAUUUUGCUCAUUUCAGAUCCAUCCCAGAAAAUGAGUAGUAUUCCAAUAGGCACAUUAGUCUACUAAUCCUCUGAACGUUUAAAUUAGCAUCUAAUUAGAAUUUUGGGGAAAACCUGUCCUGUUAAGUAAAUGAACACUCACUAACUAAAGACAGUUUGUCUGCAUGAGUGUUUGCUUGGCAUUGUUUGGGGAUCAAUACCGGAGAGUUGCAUCAAUGUAUAAUACUGUAUGAAAAUAGAAUUAAUUCUUUUAACAUUGUCAUCUUGCAAAUUUAUGUAAAUCACUUUUCCAAAGUGUGUGCUUUUCACGUGAUUAUCAUUACUGUAGAUGAACAAUGUAUAUGACACUUUUUGCCCAAUAUUGGUUAUACUGUAUCAUCAUCUGCAACUUAAAGCUGUCAUUUUGUAAAUAAACACUUUGAAUUUCUAUGAUCCACAAAAAAAGGGUUAAUGUUGAUAUCCACAUAGCCUAAUUUGUAUGUCAUGCAGUGAUUACAGCAGCAGCUUUCUUAGCAAUUACAAGAUUAAUAUUUGUCCAAUUGUAGUGUAUUUAAACAGGAAUCAAUUGUUCUAUGCUGAGACAUGUUAUAUCUCAUCCUUUAGCUGUGGAUAAAAUCUUCUUUUAACAUUUGAGAAUUAUUGCUGCUUCAAGUUUAAGAUGCAAAGUUAAUUUGGUAAUGAGGGUCUAGUUUGCCAGUCCUACUCUACCCACUUUUUAAAAGCAUAGUUUCUUUUUGAAGGUAGGGUUAGAGUAAUGAAAAUUCUUCUAGCACAGCUGAGUAACACGGUCAGGAUAUUCAACCAAAUCUGAGUGAAUUUUUGACUACUUUAAAUUAAAGUCUGCAAAGAUUUUACACACACUCAUGGAUUGUUCCUGGCCUAUAAUUUAUUUUUCAUACAAAGAAUUUGCAUAAGAAAGCGGUACAUCAUUUUUAUAAUGUAGAUUUUUUUUCCCUCCUGUGCUUUACACAUCCUUUUGGAGUCCACAUUUCUGUUGCAACGUUGUCAUGAACUGUAGGGAGCCCGACCUGCUUUGAGUGUUGUAUCACCUAAGUGUUUGCCCUUUAAAAUAUAAUUGACGUUAAUGUUGUUGAAUAAUGUGAUUAUAUGUUUUUAAUCCAUACAAACCAAAACUUCAAUCAGUGGAGCAUUUAUAUAAUGUUGAAGGGGAGGCAAUAGUCUAGUGGUAUUAUCACUGGACUGUUAAUCCAGAGAUCCAGAUAACAUUCUGGGCACCCGGGUUUGAAUCCUGCCACAGCAGAUAGUAGAAUUUGAAUUCAAUAAAAUAUCUGGAAUUAGGAAUCUAAUGAUGACCGUGAAUCCAUUGUCGAUUGUCAGAAAAACCCACCUGGUUCAAUAAUGUCCUUUAGGGAAGGAAACUGCCAUCCUCACCUGGUCUGGCCUACAUGUGACUCCAGACCCACAGCAAUAUGGUUGACUCUGAACUGCCCUCUGGGCAAUUAGGGAAGGACAAUAAAUGCUGCUUGGCCAGUGACAUCCUCAUCCCAUUAAUGAAUAAAAAAAAAAAGAAAUAAUAUUAGAAAGAAAACAGCGCAUUUGGGCUGGAAAGCAAAAAAAGUUAGAGACAUUUAUUACCUUAACCUCUUUAACCUUCUAUAAUGUUAAUUCAUCUUUCCUGAAUAUAUGCUCAGAGUUCAAUAUGGAUGCAUGAAUUCUGCAUCCACAUUUGUUUGAAAGUUUUCUGAAAAGAAAAUCUACUAUCAACAUUUAGCUGAUAAAAUUGAAUUUGGAAAUCUGUGUUUCUACGGCAUAGUCAGAGGGGUACAGCUCUCUUAUGGAUUUUUUUUUCUUUAUUCAUUUACAGGAUCUGGUUCUCAGCCAUACACUUAUUGAUUCACCCACUAGAAAUCCAAAUUGUAUUUUUCUUGGAAAUUGCACAUUUACAACCAAACCUCAUUUUAAAGCAACGUUUUAAAAAAAAAAAAAAAAAAAAAAAAAAAUUUAAUCUAUGUUGGCAGUAUAACCUAGCCUGUUGGGCUUCACUUAUUCCUCUAAAGAAAAUUCUGUCUUUAAGGAAUUUUUUUCUGUUUGUGCACGCUAGUGGAAAUGAUUAGUAACUGAUCUGCCAGAAUAAUUGUAACAGGAAAAACUGUUGGAUUUUUAAUUGAGGAUGUGCAGUGAUCAGGACAUGUACCCUUAAGGGAGAGAAAAAAAAAUAUGUUUACUUAGCGAAAAUAUCCUCAUCAUUCAUGGGAGAUGAUGGCAAAGUCACACAAGUUAUCUGUAGCAGUAAAUGUUAGAUCACCCUCUUAUGCUGCCAUUUAAUCAAAAUGAUGAUUGGCAAUUUGAACAGCAGUAAUAUAUUUUCACAGUGUAUCUGUGGUUAACGGAUCAGGAUAUACUUUGUAUUAAACCAUGCCAUAGCACUGCUGUAUUGGGGUAUAGAAAUAUUGUAAAAUGUAUACUGCAGCUGUUGAUCAUCAAGCACAAAUUUUUUUGCCAAAUGAAAAGCUGGGCAUUAUAACUUCAGAGCUGGAUUCUGUCUCCAAUCCAGGUAGCAGUAAAAUUGGAUCACGUGAAAAAGCAUUCAUGCUUGGGCUUAAUAUCAAAUAGAGUAUAACUCCAGUGGAAUAUAAGUAAUAUUCAGGGGUCUGCAUGCUCAAUAUUAAAAAUUUAGCAUCUGGAACUUACCUCUGUACAUGAAGAAGCAUGUAGAUGUAGAGUUUGUUUAGUUGUUACGAAUGGUAUUUGAAGCCAGGCUGCUUGAUCAGAACUAUUCUGCAGGUAUAGCUGUACCCUAGAAUGAGGCAAUAUCAAAAAAUAAUUUUCCUAUAUAUAUCAAAUAUGGCCAAAAAUAAAUCAAAUCAUGAAUUCAUAACUUACUGCCUUUGGGGUUAAAAGUCAGAUCAUGUGCAAUAGUGCUGUCAAUUAAUUUUGAGGUAUUAUGUAACUUUACCAGUCUUCAUGUUGUCUUCAAUGUUAGUAAUAUCUGAAAUGUGAAAAAAGCUGGUAUAAUGUAAUCACUGUCUAGUCUUCUCAGACAUCAUCCACAAUUGAAUAAAUAUGUAAGCAUUACUAGAAGUAUUUACUAAAUUACUGGCGAUAAUAAAUUACUUUGUUCCUUUCUAAAGCAUUUAGGACUAUUUGUUUAGGUGCAACAAUUUUGGCACAGCAUUUCUGGAAUUGCACUAAAUACGGUUUGCUCAAUAAUAUCCCUGUAAUGUCUUGUGCUAAUGAUUGGACAUACUCUGUGAUUUAUUGGAAUUGUUGUUCCUCAACAGUAAAUAUGUAUACGUACAAAAAUAUUGUGCAAGUAGUUUUGAAACUUGAUUUCAAAAUUUAUUCAAAGAAAUUUAGUUGCUGCUUUGAAUCACAAAUGUAAUGAAAUGCAAGUUAGUCUGUUGUAGGGUUUGUUUCUUGAAUUCCAAGUGUAUAAGAGCAUGUGCCAUUUUGUUCUGUUCAUCAAAUUAUAUAUUGUGUACUGUACUUCAAAUUUUGCUGAAUAGUUGUAUUUUUGGGAUGUCAAGCUCUUCAUAAAAUUAGCUUCUUUUUGGUAAACCAUUUUAAAAGUGUUUCUGGCAGUUUUUUUUAAAUAGUUUUCUGGACUACUUAAUUCUUUGGGAAUUGGUUCACUUGUGGCACAUAGUAAUUUGUGGUUAAAUCAACUUGUAAGCUAAGAGAUGAAGCUAUUUAGGAAGAUUGCUGUUUGGGAAAGAACGUUACUAACUAAAUUUAUAUAGUGGCAGUAUAUCAUUUAUAAUUUUGUUGAUUGUAUCCAACAUAACACCUCAAAUGAUGGGAAAGCUACUCUGGAAAAGGUUAAAUUCUUGGGUUACGGUUUCUGUUGUUCACUUUAAAAAUCAUUCAUGUUUUUGAAGAGAAAAUAAUAAACUAAAUCAAACCACUGAAUGUAGAUAAAGGCUGCUGUCUUGUUGCCUACAUAUACAUCUCCAUCAAAGGGUCUAAGGGAGAUUUAUUUUGCUUCAGUGUCAUGAUGAGAAAUGUCCACUCAUGGAAAUGAAGUUAGAUAAUAAUCAAAGGGCUUGGGUGUUUUUUUCAGCUUCAUUAUAUAAAGGGAUAAUGAUUUUCAUUUAUUGGGAACUGAGCGAUGUUACAACUUGAAUCUAGACUGGGCUAUGUUCGGAUUUAAUGUGAUCAGAAUAUAUUUUGUACAAUUUUCUCAUGAAUGACGACAAUAAAUAUGGAUUCGCAA